rnacentral:tRNA from 1 species
GUGUAGCUCAGGGGUAGAGUGUGUGCUUAGAAUGCUCAAGGCCCUGGGUUUGCUUCCCAGCAC